GCGGCGGACGGGUGAGUAACACGUGGGUAACCUGCCUGUAAGACUGGGAUAACUCCGGGAAACCGGAGCUAAUACCGGAUAGUUCCUUGAACCGCAUGGUUCAAGGAUGAAAGACGGUUUCGGCUGUCACUUACAGAUGGACCCGCGGCGCAUUAGCUAGUUGGUGAGGUAACGGCUCACCAAGGCGACGAUGCGUAGCCGACCUGAGAGGGUGAUCGGCCACACUGGGACUGAGACACGGCCCAGACUCCUACGGGAGGCAGCAGUAGGGAAUCUUCCGCAAUGGACGAAAGUCUGACGGAGCAACGCCGCGUGAGUGAUGAAGGUUUUCGGAUCGUAAAGCUCUGUUGUUAGGGAAGAACAAGUGCAAGAGUAACUGCUUGCACCUUGACGGUACCUAACCAGAAAGCCACGGCUAACUACGUGCCAGCAGCCGCGGUAAUACGUAGGUGGCAAGCGUUGUCCGGAAUUAUUGGGCGUAAAGGGCUCGCAGGCGGUUUCUUAAGUCUGAUGUGAAAGCCCCCGGCUCAACCGGGGAGGGUCAUUGGAAACUGGGAAACUUGAGUGCAGAAGAGGAGAGUGGAAUUCCACGUGUAGCGGUGAAAUGCGUAGAGAUGUGGAGGAACACCAGUGGCGAAGGCGACUCUCUGGUCUGUAACUGACGCUGAGGAGCGAAAGCGUGGGGAGCGAACAGGAUUAGAUACCCUGGUAGUCCACGCCGUAAACGAUGAGUGCUAAGUGUUAGGGGGUUUCCGCCCCUUAGUGCUGCAGCUAACGCAUUAAGCACUCCGCCUGGGGAGUACGGUCGCAAGACUGAAACUCAAAGGAAUUGACGGGGGCCCGCACAAGCGGUGGAGCAUGUGGUUUAAUUCGAAGCAACGCGAAGAACCUUACCAGGUCUUGACAUCCUCUGACAACCCUAGAGAUAGGGCUUUCCCUUCGGGGACAGAGUGACAGGUGGUGCAUGGUUGUCGUCAGCUCGUGUCGUGAGAUGUUGGGUUAAGUCCCGCAACGAGCGCAACCCUUGAUCUUAGUUGCCAGCAUUCAGUUGGGCACUCUAAGGUGACUGCCGGUGACAAACCGGAGGAAGGUGGGGAUGACGUCAAAUCAUCAUGCCCCUUAUGACCUGGGCUACACACGUGCUACAAUGGACAGAACAAAGGGCUGCGAGACCGCAAGGUUUAGCCAAUCCCACAAAUCUGUUCUCAGUUCGGAUCGCAGUCUGCAACUCGACUGCGUGAAGCUGGAAUCGCUAGUA
rnacentral:rRNA from 1 species